rnacentral:rRNA from 1 species
GGUGAGUAACACGUGGGUAACCUGCCCAUCAGAAGGGGAUAACACUUGGAAACAGGUGCUAAUACCGUAUAACAAUCAAAACCGCAUGGUUUUGAUUUGAAAGGCGCUUUCGGGUGUCGCUGAUGGAUGGACCCGCGGUGCAUUAGCUAGUUGGUGAGGUAACGGCUCACCAAGGCCACGAUGCAUAGCCGACCUGAGAGGGUGAUCGGCCACAUUGGGACUGAGACACGGCCCAAACUCCUACGGGAGGCAGCAGUAGGGAAUCUUCGGCAAUGGACGAAAGUCUGACCGAGCAACGCCGCGUGAGUGAAGAAGGUUUUCGGAUCGUAAAACUCUGUUGUUAGAGAAGAACAAGGAUGAGAGUAACUGUUCAUCCCUUGACGGUAUCUAACCAGAAAGCCACGGCUAACUACGUGCCAGCAGCCGCGGUAAUACGUAGGUGGCAAGCGUUGUCCGGAUUUAUUGGGCGUAAAGCGAGCGCAGGCGGUUUCUUAAGUCUGAUGUGAAAGCCCCCGGCUCAACCGGGGAGGGUCAUUGGAAACUGGGAGACUUGAGUGCAGAAGAGGAGAGUGGAAUUCCAUGUGUAGCGGUGAAAUGCGUAGAUAUAUGGAGGAACACCAGUGGCGAAGGCGGCUCUCUGGUCUGUAACUGACGCUGAGGCUCGAAAGCGUGGGGAGCAAACAGGAUUAGAUACCCUGGUAGUCCACGCCGU